UUGAACGCCGGCGGCAGGCCUAACACAUGCAAGUCGAGCGGAUGAAGGGAGCUUGCUCCUGGAUUCAGCGGCGGACGGGUGAGUAAUGCCUAGGAAUCUGCCUGGUAGUGGGGGAUAACGUCCGGAAACGGGCGCUAAUACCGCAUACGUCCUGAGGGAGAAAGUGGGGGAUCUUCGGACCUCACGCUAUCAGAUGAGCCUAGGUCGGAUUAGCUAGUUGGUGGGGUAAAGGCCUACCAAGGCGACGAUCCGUAACUGGUCUGAGAGGAUGAUCAGUCACACUGGAACUGAGACACGGUCCAGACUCCUACGGGAGGCAGCAGUGGGGAAUAUUGGACAAUGGGCGAAAGCCUGAUCCAGCCAUGCCGCGUGUGUGAAGAAGGUCUUCGGAUUGUAAAGCACUUUAAGUUGGGAGGAAGGGCAGUAAGUUAAUACCCUGCUGUUUUGACGUUACCAACAGAAUAAGCACCGGCUAACUUCGUG
rnacentral:rRNA from 1 species